rnacentral:rRNA from 1 species
GAUGAACGCUGGCGGCGUGCCUAAUACAUGCAAGUCGAGCGAAUGGACGAGAAGCUUUCUGCUCCGAUGUUAGCGGCGGACGGGUGAGUACCACGUGGAUAACCUACAUAUAAGACUGGGAUAACUUCGGGAACCCGGAGCUCACACCGGAUAAUAUUUUGAACCGCAUGGUUCAAAAGUUAAAGACGGUCUUGCUGCCACUAAUAGAUGGAUCCGCGCUGCAUUAGCUAGUUGGUAAGGUAACGGCUUACCAAGGCAACGAUGCAUAGCCGACCUGAGAGGGUGAUCGGCCACACGGGAACUGAGACACAGUCCCGACUCCUACGGGAGGCAGCAGUAGGGACUCUUCCGCAAUGGGCGAAAGCCUGACGGAGCAACGCCGCGGGAGUGAUGAAGGUCUUCAGAUCGUAAAACGCUGUCAUUAGGGAAGAACAUAUGUGUAAGUAACUGUGCACAUCUUGACGGUACCUAAUCAGAAAGCCACGGCUAACUACGUG